AUGGCUUCCGCGUUCUGCAAAUCAGCGGUGAGAGUAGCCUCCACCUCCUUCGCUAAUCGUUCUAGAACCUUCGCUCAGAAACCUUCGAUUCCACUUCUGUUUUCCUCGCAAGUUCCUCGUGUUUCAAGGAUUUUAUCGGUUGUUGGAAGCGUUGAAUCAUUGAUGCCUCUUCAUAGUGCCAUUGCUGAUGCCAGACUCACUUCUAAUAUCGCUUCUGAUUCCACUUGCUGGAGCUGGCUUUCUCAAGACUUUGCAGUUCCCCGGUGA
rnacentral:lncRNA from 1 species